UUUGUAGUGCUGUUGAGCCAGCCACAGCAUGCUGAUUUAUUGACCUCAGCUUCAUGCAGUUCAUCGACAGUGAAAGUGAUGUAUGGGUGUAUACUGUGUGUUUUGCCCUCCUGCACAUCAAGCACUUCAGAUUUAAUCCUGGAGGCUGAUUCGUCUAUUCGCCUAUUUGCAAUAUUUGUACAAGAACGUUAAGCGACUGACGACAGCUGGGGUACAGAUCCUAACUAAUACAGACAGGUGGGGGGUAAAUACUAUUCAGUUAAGAGUAAAUAUACAGAUUACACAAGGCAUUAGGUUGCAGUUACCUUUAUCCGCAGAAAAAAAAAAUAUGCUUGAACUGUCAGAAAGAAAAAGAGAGAUUGAUCGUGCCGUGCGGAAAUUCACUGCUCAAACUUCACAAAGGGAAUCGCAAUGAGAAUUGUGUAAGUGCUUCAUCCGUCGCAAAAAAUGACUUAAUGGGGCAGAGGGCUCUGUGUGUUUUUUGUGCUUUUGCAAAUGGAUUGUUUUUGGAACAUUUAAUUGUCUAAAUAUUGUCUGUAUAUCUAAUUGACUCGUCAUACGUCCCGCCCAUUAGUGCCCUCUGAUCGAAUAACAGACAAGAGACGUUACCGCCUGGAUGUAUCUCGGUCAACUUUCCGGACUGCUGUGAAACUCAUACAGCAUGUUGCCAUGUGCAGUGAUGCCACCUGCAAUCUGUAAUCUGACCACUUUUUUCAGCAACGAGUAAUCUAACGCAUCAGUACUUCCAAACUAGUAAUCAGGUUAAAGUUACUUAUUCAAGUCACUGUGCGUUACUAUUAUUUUUGUCAUUUUUUUAGUAAAAAGAUAUAUUUUUGCUUUCUUUUUGCAUCUCGGGGAGUGAUGUCACGUACGUGACAAGUCACGUUUUUCAGCGUGAGGACAACUCUCGUGUAACACUACGCAGCGACACAAACACAAACAACAAUGGAGGGAGGAGAGAGAUGCGCGUUUUCUAGCUGAGAAUACAGUUAUUAUUUUGAGUUUGUGUCAGCUAAAGAUUAGAAUAUUAAUAUAAUAUAAUAUAAUAUAAUUAAUAUAAGGUUCGUUGUACACUCUGUGCGGGCGACAAAGCACUACCAAGCUUCAAAAACACAACGUCAAAUAUGAAGAAACAUUUAGAGUCGCAGCACAGCACAGUUAAUUUUACAGGGCAAGUCCCACCGGGUGGUGUUAAGCAGAGAUCUGCCCCGAAGCCACGGCCUCGACUUCUGCAGGAGGUCCCCCACCACCCAAAAAACAAAAGCUGGACUCCGAUGCAAAACAAGGAAAAGGUGUUGGCUUACCGCGUGGACGGUCCCGUAACGAAGACGCAUUUUGUCCGAUGUAAGGCGUAGAUCAGGCUGUGUGACAGACCUCGCCAUCACCAACGGCCGCUCGUUUGUUCAAAGAGACCUGAAUACGGUGGAAGGAAAAAGAGGGAAACAAGGUGCCAUUGGUUCGAUGACAGCAGGCGAAAGGGGAAAAGGAGUCUCAUCCUCUGCAUUGCAGGCCCCGAAAUAACUGUGAGUGUCCUCGGUGCACUGGGCUGUGGCAGAUUUUAAUCAGCUCCACGUCUCAGCCACAGCACGAUACGCACCACGGGAGCAGUGGGACCCAGAGACACACACCACUGACGGAGAGGAUCUCUUAAUGGCACUGAAUGGGGCUAAUAAUGCAGGACAUCAAUUAUCAAUAGAGGCGUGGUGUGAACACAGAUUGUUAACUGCGUGGCACCUCAAACCGCAAGGGCACGUCAAUAAAAGUGCGUAUUUAUUUCCACUCAUGCGGGGCGGGCGCCAUAAAGGAAGCGCUUUUAGUGGCCGAUGACCACCUCCGAGCUGUAAUCACGUUCGUCACACGCGUUGCCAUUGCAGUCCGAGCUCUGCGGCCGUUCAGAAUAAAACUAUCAAACACUAAUUGGCGGCAGCCGCUCACGGGAAAUCCCUGCCGGGGAUUUGUGGCGGCGUCAGGAGCCGGCAUGGUGCUGGUUUCGUGGUGCAGCAGCUGCUGCAGUGGACGCAUUGAAAUCAGCUCAGGAGUGUCGUCUGUGCGGGCCAUUCUCACACAAGACAAGCGUUCAGCAGUCAAACGAUAAAUGGAGGGCUGGCCGCUGCCUGUCUCAGACAUUCCUGCCACACAGGAAACACAAAGCAACUCGGGUCAUGAACGUGGUUAUAGCUACACUGAUAAGUCUCCGGCCACCAGAGGAAAAGGGAAACUCUACCACGAGUACACGCAAGUAGUUUGCUGUAUCCCUGACUUUUAAAGUUAGUUUCGCUAAGGUGUUUGUGAUCUGCCUUUUUUAUAAAAGAAAAGGAUUUUCUCACACUUCUUCGCUGGAAGCAGAUGCCUGUGGGUCCAGCUGCUCUGUUGUUUUUUUUCAAAUAUGUGUUAUGCAACAUUUCUGCAUUCAAAUGAAUGAAAACACCUAGACCCUUGUUUUCAUAUUCUGUUGAGUAGUGUACUCACGUUAUCCUAAAGAAGUCUGUCACUAAUAAUACUAACAAUAACGGUGCUCUACGUUCAGUAGUAGACGAACGUGACUAAACAAUCGAAAACGUUACCUCGUCCUUGAAGAUGUCUCCCUGUCUGACAACAACCCCAGUGAUCCCACAAUACUUACAUGUUUCCUUUUGUAGUUUUGGGGAAUACGUUUAAAUCAGAAGAGAGAGAGCUUAAUCGAAUGAUUUUUUUUUUUUUUCAUGCCUAAACAAACUACAUGAUGAAACUCUUUUUGCUCUCAUGACUGAAUAAACUGAAUGAAGAAAAUG